rnacentral:rRNA from 1 species
GAUGAACGCUAGCGGCAGGCUUAACACAUGCAAGUCGUGGGGCAGCGCGCUGUAGCAAUACAGUGGCGGCGACCGGCGGAAGGGUGCGUAACACGUGAGCAACUUGCCCGUAACAGGGGGAUAAGCGCUGGAAACGGCGUCUAAUAUCCCAUAACAUAUUUCACCGCAUGAUGGAAUAUUGAAAACUCCGGUGGUUACGGAUGGGCUCGCGGGACAUUAGCUAGUCGGCGGGGUAACGGCCCACCGAGGCGACGAUGUCUAGGGGUUCUGAGAGGAAGAUCCCCCACACUGGGACUGAGACACGGCCCAGACUCCUACGGGAGGCAGCAGUGAGGAAUAUUGGACAAUGGGGGCAACCCUGAUCCAGCCAUGCCGCGUGCGGGACUAAGGCCCUAUGGGUCGUAAACCGCUUUUGUUGGGGAGCAAUAAGGUCUACGUGUAGGCUGAUGAGAGUACCCAGCGAAUAAGCAUCGGCUAACUCCGUGCC